GCCUGGAUUGAGGAGGUGAAAUCGGAGUCCCAGUCUUGUCUUGGAAUAGAUUAUCCGAUGAGGAGGCCACACCAAGGUUUUAGUGCCACAGAAGACUUAUGCCAAAUAUGAUCAUCUCCUUUUCCAGUUUUUCUGUUUCAUGUCAUUGUGUAUGUGAGAUCUCACCAAGAUUGUAGCCUGAAGCGGACUGGUGCAGACCUUGUCGCCACUGAGGUGGGACCACCUGGGCUGUAGCCUUCCAACCUAGAUGGCUCUAUUGUUCUGUCACCUGAUCCUGCUGCCUGCUGAGACACCUUUGAGACAAUCCACAUUGCGCAGAGCCUACACGCUGGUGACAGGCACCAAGAAUGGAUUGGUGGGGGAUGGGCCUCCCCUCUUUAUAAGCACAGAAUCUUAGUAAACUUUGGGGCCUCGAACAGAAACAUGUCUUGGCCUCCAUUAUCUCUCUCGCCGUUUCCUUCCAUACAGCUCCGGCCUCCCACUCAGGAACCCAGUUAGUGUGGCCGCAGGCGGCUACAAAAGAUGAUUGUCUGUA